UUAAGCGACUAAGCGUACACGGUGGAUGCCCUGGCAGUCAGAGGCGAUGAAGGACGUGCUAAUCUGCGAUAAGCGUCGGUAAGGUGAUAUGAACCGUUAUAACCGGCGAUUUCCGAAUGGGGAAACCCAGUGUGUUUCGACACACUAUCAUUAACUGAAUCCAUAGGUUAAUGAGGCGAACCGGGGGAACUGAAACAUCUAAGUACCCCGAGGAAAAGAAAUCAACCGAGAUUCCCCCAGUAGCGGCGAGCGAACGGGGAGCAGCCCAGAGCCUGAAUCAGUGUGUGUGUUAGUGGAAGCGUCUGGAAAGGCGCGCGAUACAGGGUGACAGCCCCGUACACAAAAAUGCACAUGCUGUGAGCUCGAUGAGUAGGGCGGGACACGUGGUAUCCUGUCUGAAUAUGGGGGGACCAUCCUCCAAGGCUAAAUACUCCUGACUGACCGAUAGUGAACCAGUACCGUGAGGGAAAGGCGAAAAGAACCCCGGCGAGGGGAGUGAAAAAGAACCUGAAACCGUGUACGUACAAGCAGUGGGAGCACGCUUAGGCGUGUGACUGCGUACCUUUUGUAUAAUGGGUCAGCGACUUAUAUUCUGUAGCAAGGUUAACCGAAUAGGGGAGCCGAAGGGAAACCGAGUCUUAACUGGGCGUUAAGUUGCAGGGUAUAGACCCGAAACCCGGUGAUCUAGCCAUGGGCAGGUUGAAGGUUGGGUAACACUAACUGGAGGACCGAACCGACUAAUGUUGAAAAAUUAGCGGAUGACUGGUGGCUGGGGGUGAAAGGCCAAUCAAACCGGGAGAUAGCUGGUUCUCCCCGAAAGCUAUUUAGGUAGCGCCUCGUGAAUUCAUCUCCGGGGGUAGAGCACUGUUUCGGCAAGGGGGUCAUCCCGACUUACCAACCCGAUGCAAACUGCGAAUACCGGAGAAUGUUAUCACGGGAGACACACGGCGGGUGCUAACGUCCGUCGUGAAGAGGGAAACAACCCAGACCGCCAGCUAAGGUCCCAAAGUCAUGGUUAAGUGGGAAACGAUGUGGGAAGGCCCAGACAGCCAGGAUGUUGGCUUAGAAGCAGCCAUCAUUUAAAGAAAGCGUAAUAGCUCACUGGUCGAGUCGGCCUGCGCGGAAGAUGUAACGGGGCUAAACCAUGCACCGAAGCUGCGGCAGCGACGCUUAUGCGUUGUUGGGUAGGGGAGCGUUCUGUAAGCCUGUGAAGGUGUGCUGUGAGGCAUGCUGGAGGUAUCAGAAGUGCGAAUGCUGACAUAAGUAACGAUAAAGCGGGUGAAAAGCCCGCUCGCCGGAAGACCAAGGGUUCCUGUCCAACGUUAAUCGGGGCAGGGUGAGUCGACCCCUAAGGCGAGGCCGAAAGGCGUAGUCGAUGGGAAACAGGUUAAUAUUCCUGUACUUGGUGUUACUGCGAAGGGGGGACGGAGAAGGCUAUGUUGGCCGGGCGACGGUUGUCCCGGUUUAAGCGUGUAGGCUGGUUUUCCAGGCAAAUCCGGAAAAUCAAGGCUGAGGCGUGAUGACGAGGCACUACGGUGCUGAAGCAACAAAUGCCCUGCUUCCAGGAAAAGCCUCUAAGCAUCAGGUAACAUCAAAUCGUACCCCAAACCGACACAGGUGGUCAGGUAGAGAAUACCAAGGCGCUUGAGAGAACUCGGGUGAAGGAACUAGGCAAAAUGGUGCCGUAACUUCGGGAGAAGGCACGCUGAUAUGUAGGUGAAGUCCCUCGCGGAUGGAGCUGAAAUCAGUCGAAGAUACCAGCUGGCUGCAACUGUUUAUUAAAAACACAGCACUGUGCAAACACGAAAGUGGACGUAUACGGUGUGACGCCUGCCCGGUGCCGGAAGGUUAAUUGAUGGGGUCAGCGCAAGCGAAGCUCUUGAUCGAAGCCCCGGUAAACGGCGGCCGUAACUAUAACGGUCCUAAGGUAGCGAAAUUCCUUGUCGGGUAAGUUCCGACCUGCACGAAUGGCGUAAUGAUGGCCAGGCUGUCUCCACCCGAGACUCAGUGAAAUUGAACUCGCUGUGAAGAUGCAGUGUACCCGCGGCAAGACGGAAAGACCCCGUGAACCUUUACUAUAGCUUGACACUGAACAUUGAGCCUUGAUGUGUAGGAUAGGUGGGAGGCUUAGAAGUGUGGACGCCAGUCUGCAUGGAGCCGACCUUGAAAUACCACCCUUUAAUGUUUGAUGUUCUAACGUUGACCCGUAAUCCGGGUUGCGGACAGUGUCUGGUGGGUAGUUUGACUGGGGCGGUCUCCUCCUAAAGAGUAACGGAGGAGCACGAAGGUUGGCUAAUCCUGGUCGGACAUCAGGAGGUUAGUGCAAUGGCAUAAGCCAGCUUGACUGCGAGCGUGACGGCGCGAGCAGGUGCGAAAGCAGGUCAUAGUGAUCCGGUGGUUCUGAAUGGAAGGGCCAUCGCUCAACGGAUAAAAGGUACUCCGGGGAUAACAGGCUGAUACCGCCCAAGAGUUCAUAUCGACGGCGGUGUUUGGCACCUCGAUGUCGGCUCAUCACAUCCUGGGGCUGAAGUAGGUCCCAAGGGUAUGGCUGUUCGCCAUUUAAAGUGGUACGCGAGCUGGGUUUAGAACGUCGUGAGACAGUUCGGUCCCUAUCUGCCGUGGGCGCUGGAGAACUGAGGGGGGCUGCUCCUAGUACGAGAGGACCGGAGUGGACGCAUCACUGGUGUUCGGGUUGUCAUGCCAAUGGCACUGCCCGGUAGCUAAAUGCGGAAGAGAUAAGUGCUGAAAGCAUCUAAGCACGAAACUUGCCCCGAGAUGAGUUCUCCCUGACUCCUUGAGAGUCCUGAAGGAACGUUGAAGACGACGACGUUGAUAGGCCGGGUGUGUAAGCGCAGCGAUGCGUUGAGCUAACCGGUACUAAUGAACCGUGAGGCUUAACCUU
rnacentral:rRNA from 1 species